ACGCUCGACACCUACGGGAAGCAGCAGUCGGGAAUAUUGCGCAAUGGAGGAAACUCUGACGCAGUGACGCCGCGUAUGGGAAGAAGGUUUUCGGAUUGUAAACCAUUUUAGACAAGGAAGAAACAAGACAGUACUUGUAGAAUAAGCUCCGGCUAACUACGUGCCGGCAGCCGGGUAAUCUGAGCGGGCUGGCAAGGC
rnacentral:rRNA from 1 species